ensembl:miRNA
GCUGUAGGGAUCUGGCACUGUGGUUCCUGCAUGAAGACAGUGGCUGGUGGUGCCUGGACCUACAACACCACUUCUGCAGUCACAGUCAAGUCAGCC